AAGGGUAUGGCUGUUCGCCAUUUAAAGUGGUACGCGAGCUGGGUUUAGAACGUCGUGAGACAGUUCGGUCCCUAUCUGCCGUGGGCGUUGGAGAUUUGAGAAGUGCUGCUCCUAGUACGAGAGGACCGGAGUGGACGCACCUCUGGUGUUCCGGUUGUCACGCCAGUGGCAUCGCCGGGUAGCUAUGUGCGGACGGGAUAACCGCUGAAGGCAUCUAAGCGGGAAGCCUCCUUCAAGAUGAGAUCUCCCCGAGACCUAGAGUCUCCUAAAGGGUCCAGCAAGACGAGCUGGUUGAUAGGCACGGUGUGGAAGCGCUGCAAGGCGUUGAGCUAACGUGUACUAAUGCCCCGUGAGGCUUGACCAUAUAACCCCAAGGGGU
rnacentral:rRNA from 1 species